AUUGAACGCUGGCGGAAUGCUUUACACAUGCAAGUCGAACGGUAGAGGGGGCAACCCCUCGAGAGUGGCGAACGGGUGAGUAAUAUAUCGGAACGUGCCCAGUCGUGGGGGAGAACGUAGCGAAAGUUACGCUAAUACCGCAUACGAUCUAAGGAUGAAAGCGGGGGAUCGCAAGACCUCGCGCGAUUGGAGCGGCCGAUAUCAGAUUAGGUAGUUGGUGGGGUAAAGGCUCACCAAGCCAACGAUCUGUAGCUGGUCUGAGAGGACGACCAGCCACACUGGAGCUGAGACACGGUCCAGACGCCUACGGGAGGAAGCAGUGGGGAAUUUUGGACAAUGGACGCAAGUCUGAUCCAGCCAUUCCGCGUGCAGGAUGAAGGCCCUCGGGUUGUAAACUGCUUUUGUACGGAACGAAAAGGUCUCUCUUAAUACGGGGGACUCAUGACGGUACCGUAAGAAUAAGCACCGGCUAACUACGUGCCAGCAGCCGCAGUAA
rnacentral:rRNA from 1 species